rnacentral:lncRNA from 1 species
GGCCAGUUGGAGUAGCUCAUUCUUCUGGAAAGAGAUAUGUUUGCGAGCCCUAAUAUGAUCUCACAGACAAGAUGGCUUGUAGGAGAUAGCCAAUCUGUGAAUUUUCUAUUGGACUCAUGGAUUGCUGACCUGUCGUUGAGCCGAUGGCCAACAUUUAUUCGCUCUAAGAUAGUAGACUCCUUGAGGGUUUGCGAUCUUCUUUAUCCAGAUGGCAC